rnacentral:tRNA from 1 species
GGAGGGGUGCUAGAGCGGUCGAAUAGGAUUGUCUUGAAAACAAUUGAGCCUGAAAGGGUUCCGUGGGUUCGAAUCCCACCCCCUCCGCCA